ACAUCAAAUUGAAAUAUAUCAAUUUAAAAAUUAAAAGAAUCAUUAAUAACAAUUAUCAUUGAUUCAAAAUAGUUAGACAAGUGUUCAAACAACCACAUGUGAUUUCAUCUUAUGCUUGAUUUUUGUCAAAAAAGACAUGCUGGUUCAAAAGUUAUAUACAAUAUUUUGUAAGACUUCUAAGACUUGAAUUAUUUGAACAAAGCUCAUCUUUGAGACAA